rnacentral:rRNA from 1 species
AUUGAACGCUGGCGGCAUGCCUUACACAUGCAAGUCGAACGGCAGCACGGGAGCAAUCCUGGUGGCGAGUGGCGAACGGGCGAGUAAUAUAUCGGAACGUGCCCAGUCGUGGGGAUAACGUAGCGAAAGCUACGCUAAUACCGCAUACGAUCUAUGGAUGAAAGCGGGGGAUCGCAAGACCUCGCGCGAUUGGAGCGGCCGAUAUCAGAUUAGGUAGUUGGUGAGGUAAAGGCUCACCAAGCCGACGAUCUGUAGCUGGUCUGAGAGGACGACCAGCCACACUGGGACUGAGACACGGCCCAGACUCCUACGGGAGGCAGCAGUGGGGAAUUUUUGGGACAAUGGGCGCAAGCCUGAUCCAGCAAUGCCGCGUGCAGGAUGAAGGCC